AGAGAGAGAGAGAGAGAGAGAGGAUGUUUGGGUCAAGAGGACAACAACUUUGAAUUUUGGGUCAGUGCGGUCCUUUUCAUUAUGGAAUCGUGUAUGGAUUAGGAAAAGAAACUUCGAAGCUGCAACAAGAAGGUUGCAACAACUGCUUUCUUUAGUUGAUCAUUUGGACUUUUGAAAAUGAGGGCUCACGAAAAGUAGAAAUUGAUUUACGCCCCAAAAAUAAAUCUUUUAUGUACAACGAUUGAAAACUUGGCUUGAUUCCUUGGCGAAGCCCAGAACUCGAG
rnacentral:lncRNA from 1 species